GUGAGCAUUGGUUUAUUCGACGCAACGCGAAGGACCUUACCUGGGCUCGAAAAUGUACAGGNAUUCCGGUUAGAAAAUAUCGGCGUCCCCGCAAGGGGACCUGUAUAUAGGGUGCUGCAUGGGCUGUCGUCAGCUCGUGUCGUGAGAUGUGGGGUUAAGUCCCGCAACGAGCGCAACCCUUAUCUUCAGUUGCUACCAUUCAGUUUGAGCACUCUGACGAAACCGCCUCGGAUAACGGGGAGGAAGGUGGGGAUGACGUCAAGUCCUCAUGGCCUUUAUGUCCAGGGCUACACACGUGCUACAAUGGCCGGUACAAACCGUCGCAAACCCGUGAGGGGGAGCUAAUCGGGAAAAAGCCGUCCUCAGUUCGGAUCGCAGUCUGCAACUCGACUGCGUGAAGCUGGAAUCGCUAGUAAUCGCGGAUCAGAAUGCCGCGGUGAAUACGUUCCCGGGCCUUGUACACACCGCCCGUCACAUCACGAAAGUGGGUUGCACUAGAAGCCGGUGAGCUAACCGCAAGGAAGCAGCCGUCCAAGGUGUAAUUCAUGAUUGGGGUGAAGUCGUAACAAGGUAACC
rnacentral:rRNA from 1 species